ACAGUGUAUCUACUUUAGUAGGCCCACAGGUGCACACUGGUACAUUGGAGUCUGUGAGAAUAUUUUGAUUUUCAUUACUUUGUGGGUUAUUCAUGUCAAAAUUAAACUGCUAAUUCUAGGGCAGUCUAGUGAAAACCUACAGCAGCUGUUAAAGGAAGGAUAUCUGUCUACACCACUACUCCGGUGAGUCAGGAGAACAACAUUAAAGACAGUGACUUCUAUAUGUUUGCAAAUGAGAAUUUAAAUGUGGUAUGUCAAUGAAAAAUGAUAGUCAGGUGGUGGCAUUACCACUGCAGCUAGUUCAUCUGCACAAAGGGCUAUUAAAAAAAACCUACUGACGUUUUAGAGAACGCUGUAGGUGAGGUCCCUCCCAUGGGAGCAGCAGCAGCCACCAGGCUACUGAAAAGUGCUAAUGCUGCUGGGCGACCAUGACAAAAUCAAACUUUCAUCUUAAUAUCUUGAAAGAGCUAAUGUCAUAAUAUGUUUGGAAUGAUCGGUGCCUGGAGUAGAGAAAAAUCAAGAAAUGAGAUUGUUGACUAGCCCAAGUUGUAAAAAUAACUUUUAAGAUAUAACACAAUUCCAGAACAUGUCUUGUACAUUACAACAAACACGUUUGGAUUAAUUUAUUGCCCAAUUUUAUUGCACAAACAUAAACAAUGCAUGUUGUUUAUCUGAUAAUACAAGGCACCUCAUCUGUAUGGUGAUAUGAUGAUUGUCCUUUGUGAAGAAAUAUCAAAUUACUUACAAUGUACAGUUAAUAAAAAAAAAUUAAAAAAAACAGGGGGAGCACCUAAAGCAACUUAAAGCACUUUGUUGGUGUAAAUAGUUUUGCUUCUGUAUGAUUGUCUUUAAGACAAUGUUUCCAUGACCAGCACACCAUGUUUACAAAACCAUUCAUAGCUGUGCUGGGUGAAGCAAAAACAUAAUACUGCAGUUCUGAAACAUAACUUAAAAUAAUACAGUCCUCCAAAACCACGUGAUUGAAUCAUACAUAGAUCCUUCAUUGUAAGUUGUAAGGCAUUGUAAGGCAGCUUUUAACAAAAUUGCUAAAUUGCGUCAUAAACCCAUACAAUGUCCUUUACAUCACAAUCAUAAACAAUGCAUGCAUGCUAACAUCACAUUUAACAAUCAGAUGAAAAGUACCGUUUAGUGGUUCCAACAGAAACGCACAGAUGUAAAUACACAUACUCUGAAGGCACAUGUGGCUGAUCUUUUAUGCCGUGCUGGCGGAAGGUUGUGGCCAUUUUUAGUUUGGGGUCUAUGUCUGAGUAUGUACUGAUGAUGUCUAUACUCAAUAUUUUAGAUGAUGUUGGAACGAAGCUGCAUUAUUGCUUCCGUUUUUACCUUUACAUCAGCAGAGGUGAUCUAAUCCAGCUGAAAGAUACACACAUAAAUUAAGGCACGAAAGGCUGAUUCCCUUAAUUAUUUUAAAGCAGCAGUACAGUCAGAAAAAAAAAAAAAA